GAUGAACGCUGGCGGUAUGCUUAACACAUGCAAGUCGAACGGUCACUUCGGUGAUAGUGGCGGACGGGUGAGUAACGCGUGAGAAUCUGUCCUCAGGUCGGGGACAACAGUUAGAAAUGACUGCUAAUACCGGAUGUGCCUUUGGGUGAAAGAUUUAUUGCCUGAAAAAGAGCUCGCGUCAGAUUAGCUAGUAGGUGGUGUAAGAGACUACCUAGGCUCCGAUCUGUAGCUGGUCUGAGAGGACGAUCAGCCACACUGGAACUGAGACACGGUCCAGACUCCUACGGGAGGCAGCAGUGGGGAAUUUUCCGCAAUGGGCGAAAUCCUGACGGAGCAAUACCGCGUGAGGGACGAAGGCUUUUGGGUCGUAAACCUCUUUUCUCAAUGAAGAUGAUGACGGUACUUGAGGAAUAAGCACCGGCUAACUCUGUG
rnacentral:rRNA from 1 species